GGCGUAAAGGGCUCGUAGGCGGUUUGUCGCGCCGGGAGUGAAAACACCGGGCUUAACUCGGUGCUUGCUUUCGAUACGGGCAGACUAGAGGUAUUCAGGGGAGAACGGAAUUCCUGGUGUAGCGGUGAAAUGCGCAGAUAUCAGGAGGAACACCGGUGGCGAAAGCGGUUCUCUGGGAAUAUCCUGACGCUGAGGAGCGAAAGUGUGGGGAGCGAACAGGAUUAGACACCCUGGUAGUCCACACCGUAAACGUUGGGCGCUAAGUGUGGGAUCCAUUCCCCGGGUUCCGUGCCGCAGCUAACGCACUAAGCGCCCCGCCUGGGGAGUACGGCCGCAAGGCUAAACCUCAAAGGAAUUGACGGGGGCCCGCACAAGCGGCGGAGCAUGCGGAUUAAUUCGAUGCAACGCGAAGAACCUUACCUGGGUUUGACAUUACACCUGAAAGCUGCAGAGAUGUAGCCCCUUCUAGUCGGUGUACAGGUGGUGCAUGGCUGUCGUCAGCUCGUGUCGUGAGAUGUUGGGUUAAGUCCCGCAACGAGCGCAACCCUCGUCUUAUGUUGCCAGCACGUCAUGGUGGGAACUCAUAGGAGACUGCCGGGGUCAACUCGGAGGAAGGUGGGGAUGACGUCAAGUCAUCAUGCCCCUUAUGUCCAGGGCUUCACGCAUGCUACAAUGGCCGGUACAAAGGGCUGCGAUCCCGUGAGGGGGAGCGAAUCCCAAAAAGCCGGUCUCAGUUCGGAUUGGGGUCUGCAACUCGACCC
rnacentral:rRNA from 1 species